rnacentral:rRNA from 1 species
UACGGGGGGGGCAAGCGUUGUUCGGAAUUACUGGGCGUAAAGGGCGCGUAGGCGGCCAACUAAGUCGGACGUGAAAUCCCAAGGCUCAACCUUGGAACUGCGUCCGAUACUGGAUGGCUUGAAUCCGGGAGAGGGAUGUGGAAUUCCAGGUGUAGCGGUGAAAUGCGUAGAUAUCUGGAGGAACACCGGUGGCGAAGGCGGCAUCCUGGACCGGUAUUGACGCUGAGGCGCGAAAGCCAGGGGAGCAAACGGG